AACAUCGCGCACCUGCGGGAACCUGCGGAGGGAUCAUUACAAGAAACUGUCCCGGGCUUACCCCCGGGUUCAUUUCAUAACCCUUUGUUGUCCGACUCUGUUGCCUCCGGGGCGACCCUGCCUUCGGGCGGGGGCUCCGGGUGGACAAAUUCAAACUCUUGCGUAACUUUGCAGUCUGAGUAAAUUUAAUUAAUAAAUUAAAACUUUCAACAAUGGAUCU
rnacentral:misc_RNA from 1 species